rnacentral:misc_RNA from 1 species
GAUGAAGAACGUAGCGAAAUGCGAUAAGUAGUGUGAAUUGCAGAAUUCCGGGAAUCAUCGAAUCUUUGAACGCACAUUGCGCCUUCUGGUAUUCCGGAAGGCAUGCCUGUUCGAGAGUCAUUAACAACCGUUUCGAUCCCUUUCUUUCAGAAAUUACAAAGAGGAAAAGGGUUUGGUUAUGGUGGAGGAGGGAAAGGGAGCGUUUAGCCUGUAAAAAAAGAGGCUGUGUUCCGCCUCCCCCCCAAAAUUGUACAGGCGGUCGUGUGCGCCCACGCAUCGAGGUGUUGUAAAAGCUGCCACGGCACUUUUCACCUGUGCAGUGCGAGAUUGGCCAGCCGGUUUAAAAACCCCUCCAAACAAUCAAAGGUUGACCUCGGAUCAGGUAGGGAUACCCGCUGAACUUAAGCAUAUCAAUAAGCGGAGGA